rnacentral:rRNA from 1 species
UACGGAGGGUGCGAGCGUUGUCCGGAAUCAUUGGGCGUAAAGGGCGCGUAGGUGGCCCGGUCAGCGUGCGGUGAAAGCUCGGGGCUCAACCCCGAGUCGGCCGUGCGAACUGCUGGGCUGGAGCACUGUAGAGGCAGGCGGAAUUCCGGGUGUAGCGGUGGAAUGCGUAGAGAUCCGGAAGAACACCGGUGGCGAAGGCGGCCUGCUGGGCAGUGGCUGGACACUGAGGCGCGAC